GAUGAACGCUGGCGGCGUGCCUAAUACAUGCAAGUCGAGCGAACGGACGAGAAGCUUGCUUCUCUGAUGUUAGCGGCGGACGGGUGAGUAACACGUGGAUAACCUACCUAUAAGACUGGGAUAACUUCGGGAAACCGGAGCUAAUACCGGAUAAUAUUUUGAACCGCAUGGUUCAAAAGUGAAAGACGGUCUUGCUGUCACUUAUAGAUGGAUCCGCGCUGCAUUAGCUAGUUGGUAAGGUAACGACUUACCAAGGCAACGAUGCAUAGCCGACCUGAGAGGGUGAUCGGCCACACUGGAACUGAGACACGGUCCAGACUCCUACGGGAGGCAGCAGUAGGGAAUCUUCCGCAAUGGGCGAAAGCCUAACGGAGCAACGCCGCGUGAGUGAUGAAGGUCUUCGGAUCGUAAAACUCUGUUAUUAGGGAAGAACAUAUGUGUAAGUAACUGUGCACAUCUUGACGGUACCUAAUCAGAAAGCCACGGCUAACUACGUG
rnacentral:rRNA from 1 species